GGUCAAGCGAACAAGUGCAUGUGGUGGAUGCCUUGGCGAUCACAGGCGAUGAAGGACGCGGUAGCCUGCGAAAAGCCCCGGGGAGCUGGCAAACAAGCUUUGAUCCGGGGAUGUCCGAAUGGGGAAACCCACUCCUUAUGGAGUAUCCAUGGCUGAAUACAUAGGCCAUGUGAAGCGAACGCGGUGAACUGAAACAUCUAAGUAACCGCAGGAAAAGAAAUCAACCGAGAUUCCCAAAGUAGUGGCGAGCGAAAUGGGAUGAGCCUUGUACUCUUUAUUUGUAUUGUUAGCCGAACGCUCUGGAAAGUGCGGCCAUAGCAGGUGAUAGCCCUGUAGGCGAAAACAGUAUGAAAGAACUAGGUGUACGACAAGUAGGGCGGGACACGUGAAAUCCUGUCUGAAGAUGGGGGGACCAUCCUCCAAGGCUAAAUACUCGUGAUCGACCGAUAGUGAACCAGUACCGUGAGGGAAAGGCGAAAAGAACCCCGGGAGGGGAGUGAAAUAGAUCCUGAAACCGCAUGCAUACAAACAGUCGGAGCCUCUUUAUGGGGUGACGGCGUACCUUUUGUAUAAUGGGUCAGCGACUUACGUUCAGUAGCAAGCUUAACCGUAUAGGGCAGGCGUAGCGAAAGCGAGUCCGAAUAGGGCGUUCAGUUGCUGGGCGUAGACCCGAAACCAGGUGAUCUAUCCAUGGCCAGGAUGAAGGUGCGGUAACACGUACUGGAGGUCCGAACCCACUAACGUUGAAAAGUUAGGGGAUGAGCUGUGGAUAGGGGUGAAAGGCUAAACAAACCUGGAAAUAGCUGGUUCUCUCCGAAAACUAUUUAGGUAGUGCCUCGUGUCUCACCUUCGGGGGUAGAGCACUGUCAUGGUUGGGGGGUCUAUUGCAGAUUACCCCGCCAUAGCAAACUCCGAAUACCGAAGAGUGCAAUCACGGGAGACAGACAUCGGGUGCUAACGUCCGGUGUCAAGAGGGAAACAACCCAGACCGCCAGCUAAGGUCCCCAAAUAUGGCUAAGUGGGAAACGAAGUGGGAAGGCUAAAACAGUCAGGAGGUUGGCUUAGAAGCAGCCACCCUUUAAAGAAAGCGUAAUAGCUCACUGAUCGAGUCGUCCUGCGCGGAAGAUGUAACGGGGCUAAGCCAUAUACCGAAGCUGCGGAUGCGUGCUUGCACGCAUGGUAGGAGAGCGUUCCGUAAGCCUGCGAAGGUGCCUUGUAAAGGGUGCUGGAGGUAUCGGAAGUGCGAAUGCUGACAUGAGUAGCGAUAAAGGGGGUGAAAGGCCCCCUCGCCGUAAGCCCAAGGUUUCCUACGCAACGUUCAUCGGCGUAGGGUGAGUCGGCCCCUAAGGCGAGGCAGAAAUGCGUAGCUGAUGGGAAGCAGGUCAAUAUUCCUGCACCGUCGUUAGAUGCGAUGGGGGGACGGAUCGCGGAAGGUUGUCCGGGUGUUGGACGUCCCGGUCGCUGCAUUGGAGAAGGCGCUUAGGCAAAUCCGGGCGCAGGAUUCAAGGGUGUGGCGCGAGCGACUUCGGUCGCGAAGCAAUUGGAAGUGGUUCCAAGAAAAGCCUCUAAGCUUCAGUCUAACGAUGACCGUACCGCAAACCGACACAGGUGGGCGAGAUGAGUAUUCUAAGGCGCUUGAGAGAACUCGGGAGAAGGAACUCGGCAAAUUGGUACCGUAACUUCGGGAUAAGGUACGCCCUUGUAGCUUGACCAGCCUGCGCUGGAAGGGUGAAGGGGUUGCAAUAAACUGGUGGCUGCGACUGUUUAAUAAAAACACAGCACUCUGCAAACACGAAAGUGGACGUAUAGGGUGUGACGCCUGCCCGGUGCCGGAAGAUUAAAUGAUGGGGUGCAAGCUCUUGAUUGAAGUCCCGGUAAACGGCGGCCGUAACUAUAACGGUCCUAAGGUAGCGAAAUUCCUUGUCGGGUAAGUUCCGACCUGCACGAAUGGCGUAACGAUGGCCACACUGUCUCCUCCCGAGACUCAGCGAAGUUGAAGUGUUUGUGAUGAUGCAAUCUACCCGCGGCUAGACGGAAAGACCCCAUGAACCUUUACUGUAGCUUUGCAUUGGACUUUGAACCGAUCUGUGUAGGAUAGGUGGGAGGCUAUGAAACCGGAACGCUAGUUUCGGUGGAGCCGUCCUUGAAAUACCACCCUGGUUUGUUUGAGGUUCUAACCUUGGUCCGUGAUCCGGAUCGGGGACAGUGCAUGGUAGGCAGUUUGACUGGGGCGGUCUCCUCCCAAAGGGUAACGGAGGAGUACGAAGGUACGCUAGGUACGGUCGGAAAUCGUGCUGAUAGUGCAAUGGCAUAAGCGUGCUUAACUGCGAGACCGACAAGUCGAGCAGGUGCGAAAGCAGGUCAUAGUGAUCCGGUGGUUCUGUAUGGAAGGGCCAUCGCUCAACGGAUAAAAGGUACUCUGGGGAUAACAGGCUGAUACCGCCCAAGAGUUCAUAUCGACGGCGGUGUUUGGCACCUCGAUGUCGGCUCAUCUCAUCCUGGGGCUGUAGCCGGUCCCAAGGGUAUGGCUGUUCGCCAUUUAAAGAGGUACGUGAGCUGGGUUUAAAACGUCGUGAGACAGUUUGGUCCCUAUCUGCCGUGGGCGUUGGAUAUUUGAAGGGGGCUGCUCCUAGUACGAGAGGACCGGAGUGGACGAACCUCUGGUGUACCGGUUGUGACGCCAGUCGCAUCGCCGGGUAGCUAUGUUCGGAAGAGAUAACCGCUGAAAGCAUCUAAGCGGGAAACUCGCCUUAAGAUGAGAUAUCCCUGGAGGCUUGACCUCCUUGAAGGGUCGUUCGAGACCAGGACGUUGAUAGGUCGGGUGUGUAAGCGCAGUAAUGCGUUCAGCUAACCGAUACUAAUUGCCCGUAAGGCUUGAUCCU
rnacentral:rRNA from 1 species